AGUGAACGCUGGCGGUAGGCCUAACACAUGCAAGUCGAACGGCAGCACAGUAAGAGCUUGCUCUUACGGGUGGCGAGUGGCGGACGGGUGAGGAAUACAUCGGAAUCUACUUUUUUGUGGGGGUUAACGUAGGGAAACUUACGCUAAUACCGCAUACCACCUACGGGUGAAAGCAGGGGAUCUUCGCACCUUGCGCGAUUGAAUGAGCCGCUGUCGGAGUGGUUAGUUGGCUGGGGAAAGGCCAACCAAGGCGACGAUCCGUCGCUGGUCUGAGAGAAUGAUCGGCCACAUUAGAACGGGGCCACGCACCAGACUCCUACGGGAGGGCGCAGUCGGGAAUAUUGGGCAAUAGGCGCAAACCUGAUCCAGUCAGACCGCGUGGGUGAAGAAGGCCUCGGGGUUGCAAAGCCCUUUUGUUGGGAGAGAAAAGCAGCAGGUUAAUACCCAGCGGUUCUGACGGUACCGAAAGAAUAAGCACCGGCUAACUACGUG
rnacentral:rRNA from 1 species